rfam:Populus trichocarpa isolate Nisqually-1 chromosome 13, whole genome shotgun sequence.
CUGUGAGGGGAAUGAUGUAUUAUUACCGUGCUCUUAAGAUGCUGGCUUUUCUUGAUUCUGCCUCGGAGAUGGACAUUAAAG